rnacentral:rRNA from 1 species
UACGAAGGGGGCUAGCGUUGUUCGGAAUUACUGGGCGUAAAGCGCGCGCAGGCGGCUAUCCAAGUCAGUGGUGAAAGCCCGGAGCUCAACUCCGGAACUGCCAUUGAAACUGUUUAGCUUGAGGAUGAGAGAGGUGAGUGGAAUUCCCAGUGUAGAGGUGAAAUUCGUAGAUAUUGGGAAGAACACCGGUGGCGAAGGCGGGUCUCUGGGCCGUUACUGACGCUGAGGAGCGAAAGCGUGGGGAGCGAACAGG